UGUUUAAAUGGGGGAUUCUCGAAGAGAAAACGCGUGAUUUUCGCUUAAAUGGGGGAUUUGAGAAAACAAAACGUGUGAUUUUCGCUUAAAUGGGGGAUUCGCGAAAAGAAAACGCGUGAUUUUCGCUUAAAUGGGGGACUUGCAAAGAGAAAACGUGUCAUUUACACGUUAAAUGGAGGAUUCUCGAAGAGAAAAUGUGAUUUCGCAUAAAUGUGUUUUUUGCGAAGAGAAAACGUGUGAUUUUUGCUUAAAUGGGGGAUUUGAGAAAACGCGUGAUUUUCGUUAAAUGUUGGUUUCUCGAAGAGAAAACGCGUGAUUUUCGCUUAAAUGGGGGAUUUGAGAAAACGUGUGAUUUUCGCAUAAAUGUUGGAUUCUCGAAGAGAAAACACGUGAUUUUUGCUUAAAUGUGGGAUUUGCGAAGAGAAAACGUGAUUUUCAAGUUAAAU
ensembl:lncRNA